GGGUGAGUGACAUGUUACUGGAGUUCAAGUGCACUGAAUAACCUUCCAGCCAUUCAUUAUGACACCUACUGGGAAUCUAUUAUGUGCCAAGUAGUCCUGUAGUCACUAGAGAUCUCACAAGCAGCAAGAUAAAGUCCCUGCCUACAUGAAGCUUACCUUGCAGUGGAGGAGGAAGACAAUAACAUCAUGUCAGAGGUGAUACAUGCUAGAAAAAUACUAAGUGGGCCAAGGGGAGAGUGUGAAGGUGGACACAGUGGUGGUGGCUAUUUUUGAAAGAGGCAUCAGGGUAGGGCUCCCCACUUCGAGUGAACUAAGCAAGCAAGGAACAUGGAUCUGCAGGGUUUGAGAGUUCCAGGAGGAAGGGACAGCCAGCCUGACAUGCAGAGUGAACGAAGGACAGCCAAGGACCAGGGUUAAAGACAAAGUGUUACUGUUCUCCUUUAAACAAGCUAGACUGGACCAGAUUGUCCACCCUGGACUAGCUGGCAUAACAGAUCCUCUUGGCUCUCUGAGGGCGCCUUCUCUCCAUCAGAGGUCGCACAGCACCACCUUGAUUCCAGGAUUCUUGGCACCACCUUGAUUCCAGGAUUAGCAAUCGCCAACUGCGUAAGCCCAACUGCACAUGCAAUCAUAUGACAUGUGAUCCCAUGGCAAAUGUAAUCACCGCUCAACCAAUCCCAGGUCCUACGUGAGAGGCUGAAGUGUGGCAGGGAGGCUUUCAGCCAUCACUGUUGCCCAGGUAAAGGAAAUUUCCCCCAUUGUGCUUUGAGGAGAGCUGCUACACACCAGUUCUCUCCUAGUAGAAGAAUGAACCAGAAAUGAACAUAAGCAUGUUGGAAUUCAUGUAUGUGGCAGACUGUAUUUUCCAAAGAUGGCCACAACAAUAUUUCUCAUUCCACAUGGUCUGCUGGAACCUUGUCACUCCUCCAUCAAGAGCUGGAACCCAUGUCCCCUGUACUUCAACCACUAUGGGUCCUUAUGACGGCCUCAACCAAUGAGUAGGUGAAAAGGACCCUUAUGUGACCUCCAAGGUAUAAUCAUCAGAAUUCCAUGAACUUCUACCUUCUUCUCUUGGGAUGCUUGCUCUUAGAACCUAGCUGCCAUGUUUUGAGGAAGCCUUAAGCAGUCUGUCGAGAGGCCUACAGCCAACACCAACUUGCCAGCCAUAUGAGUGUGCCAUCUUGAAAGUAGAUCCCCCAGCUACCACCAAACAGCCCAGUUGAUACCAUGUGAAAUGGAGAUUAGCUGCCUCUGCCAAGUACUGCCCAAGUUGCAGAUUUGUGAGCAAAAUAAAUGACUGCUAUUGUUUAAAGCCAAUAUGUUUUGGGGUGGUUUGUUACACAGCAAUAGACAUCUUUUAAAAUACAGUGAUCGUCAC
rnacentral:lncRNA from 1 species